rnacentral:rRNA from 1 species
GCUUGCUCCAUGAUUCAGCGGCGGACGGGUGAGUAAUGCCUAGGAAUCUGCCUAUUAGUGGGGGACAACGUUUCGAAAGGAACGCUAAUACCGCAUACGUCCUACGGGAGAAAGCAGGGGACCUUCGGGCCUUGCGCUAAUAGAUGAGCCUAGGUCGGAUUAGCUAGUUGGUGAGGUAAUGGCUCACCAAGGCGACGAUCCGUAACUGGUCUGAGAGGAUGAUCAGUCACACUGGAACUGAGACACGGUCCAGACUCCUACGGGAGGCAGCAGUGGGGAAUAUUGGACAAUGGGCGAAAGCCUGAUCCAGCCAUGCCGCGUGUGUGAAGAAGGUCUUCGGAUUGUAAAGCACUUUAAGUUGGGAGGAAGGGCAUUAACCUAAUACGUUAGCGUUUUGACGUUACCGACAGAAUAAGCACCGGCUAACUUCGUGCCAGCAGCCGCGGUAAUACGAAGGGUGCAAGCGUUAAUCGGAAUUACUGGGCGUAAAGCGCGCGUAGGUGGUUUGUUAAGUUGGAUGUGA